rnacentral:misc_RNA from 1 species
GGCAAUCCCAUAAACCGUGGCUCAGUUCAGAUCGUAGGCUGCAACUCGCCUACGUGAAGGAGGAAUCGCUAGUAAUCGCAGGUCAGCAUACUGCGGUGAAUACGUUCCCGGGCCUUGUACACACCGCCCGUCACACCAUGGAAGUUGGCCACGUCCGAAGCCGUUACUCCAACCCCUGUGGAGGAGGACGUCGAAGGUGGGGCUGAUGACUGGGGUGAAGUCGUAACAAGGUAUCCGUACCGGAAGGUGCGGAUGGAUCACCUCCUAACAGGGAGACAACACAAUGAUUUUGAUGCCUGAGUGCUUUUAUUCUUAGGCCGAAAUCCUGUCACCUUAGGUCGAUCGGUACCUCAGCUUUGAAGUUAAGAAUCAGCAGCAAUGUUGAUUGCUUGAUGGAGAUUUUCAGUUCCUAAACUUUGUCUAGGUCACACCCCAAAAGGGAUGAGACUCCUGGGCCAUUAGCUCAGGUGGUUAGAGCGCACCCCUGAUAAGGGUGAGGUCCCUGGUUCAAGUCCAGGAUGGCCCAUUCGGUGUUGGGGGUUUAGCUCAGUUGGUAGAGCGCCUGCUUUGCAAGCAGGAUGUCAGGAGUUCGAGUCUCCUAACCUCCACUGACCGAACUUUUUCCCCAUCUCCAAAUCGUUGGAGUUGAGCUCGAUUGGCGUGUGAUUUAGAUGUGUCCGCUGGAUGACCCCAGCUUCCUGUCAUUCCAAGUUUUAAGUUGAAAGCUUUGAAUUUGGUUGAUAAGAUGCU